UAGCGUAGGGGGCAAGCGUUGUCCGGAAUUAUUGGGCGUAAAGCGCGCGCAGGCGGUCAUUUAAGUCUGGUGUUUGAAUCCUGGGGCCUCAACCCCAGUUCGCAUUCGGAAACUGGAUGACUUGAGUGUAGGAGAGGAAAGUGGAAUUCCACGUGAUAGCGGUGAAAUGCGUAGAGAUGUGGAGGAACACCAGUGGCGAAGGCGAACUUUCUGGCCUAUAACUGACGCUGAG
rnacentral:rRNA from 1 species